UACGUAGGGCGCAAGCGUUGUCCGGAAUUAUUGGGCGUAAAGAGCUCGUAGGCGGCUAGUCACGUCGGGUGUGAAAGAUCGGGGCUUAACCCCGGUUCUGCAUUCGAUACGGGCUGGCUAGAGUGUGGUAGGGGAGAUCGGAAUUCCUGGUGUAGCGGUGAAAUGCGCAGAUAUCAGGAGGAACACCGGUGGCGAAGGCGGAUCUCUGGGCCAUUACUGACGCUGAGGAGCGAAAGCGUGGGGAGCGAACAGG
rnacentral:rRNA from 1 species